GGUCGACGAUUCCUACGGGAGGCAGCAGUGGGGAAUUUUGGACUUGGGGGGCAACCCUGAUCCAGCCAUUCCGCGUGAGUGAAGAAGGCCUUCGGGUUGUAAAGCUCUUUCGGCAGGAACGAAACGGUGAGCUCUAACAUAGCUCGCUAAUGACGGUACCUGAAGAAGAAGCACCGGCUAACUACGUGCCAGCAGCCGCGGUAAUACGUAGGGUGCGAGCGUUAAUCGGAAUUACUGGGCGUAAAGCGUGCGCAGGCGGUUGUGUAAGACAGGUGUGAAAUCCCCGGGCUUAACCUGGGAACUGCGCUUGUGACUGCACGGCUAGAGUAUGGCAGAGGGGGGUGGAAUUCCACGUGUAGCAGUGAAAUGCGUAGAGAUGUGGAGGAACACCGAUGGCGAAGGCAGCCCCCUGGGCCAAUACUGACGCUCAUGCACGAAAGCGUGGGGAGCAAACAGGAUUAGAUACCCUGGUAGUCCACGCCCUAAACGAUGUCGACUAGGUGUUCGGUGAGGAGACUCAUUGAGUACCGCAGCUAACGCGUGAAGUCGACCGCCUGGGGAGUACGGUCGCAAGAUUAAAACUCAAAGGAAUUGACGGAAUCUCUAGA
rnacentral:rRNA from 1 species